rnacentral:rRNA from 1 species
CGAUGAACCACUUCGGUGGGGAUUAGUGGCGAACGGGUGAGUAACACGUGGGCAAUCUGCCCUGCACUCUGGGACAAGCCCUGGAAACGGGGUCUAAUACCGGAUACUGACCCUCACGGGCAUCUGUGAGGUUCGAAAGCUCCGGCGGUGCAGGAUGAGCCCGCGGCCUAUCAGCUUGUUGGUGAGGUAAUGGCUCACCAAGGCGACGACGGGUAGCCGGCCUGAGAGGGCGACCGGCCACACUGGGACUGAGACACGGCCCAGACUCCUACGGGAGGCAGCAGUGGGGAAUAUUGCACAAUGGGCGAAAGCCUGAUGCAGCGACGCCGCGUGAGGGAUGACGGCCUUCGGGUUGUAAACCUCUUUCAGCAGGGAAGAAGCGAAAGUGACGGUACCUGCAGAAGAAGCGCCGGCUAACUACGUGCCAGCAGCCGCGGUAAUACGUAGGGCGCGAGCGUUGUCCGGAAUUAUUGGGCGUAAAGAGCUCGUAGGCGGCUUGUCACGUCGGUUGUGAAAGCCCGGGGCUUAACCCCGGGUCUGCAGUCGAUACGGGCAGGCUAGAGUUCGGUAGGGGAGAUCGGAAUUCCUGGUGUAGCGGUGAAAUGCGCAGAUAUCAGGAGGAACACCGGUGGCGAAGGCGGAUCUCUGGGCCGAUACUGACGCUGAGGAGCGAAAGCGUGGGGAGCGAACAGGAUUAGAUACCCUGGUAGUCCACGCCGUAAACGGUGGGCACUAGGUGUGGGCAACAUUCCACGUUGUCCGUGCCGCAGCUAACGCAUUAAGUGCCCCGCC